AGAAAAAACCACUGAGAUGAAAACUCUGAUAUAUCAUGAUUUGAAGUUUUCUAUCUUAAGGUAAAGUUUUUUAUGGUCCCUUAUGUGGGAGGAAGAUAGAAUAUUUUCAAUUACUAAAGUUGAAUUCAAAGUUACCGGACUGGACCGCAGGAGUCAGUUCUGGGAUAAGAGGAAUUCUGAAGGCAGGAACGGUGUCUCCUGCAGGGCCUUGGAAAUCUCCAGGAAUUCUGCUCUUCUCUGCUACCUCUGCUUUUCCCUCUACUGAGGAAAUGAGGCCGCUUCCCCAGAGGGAGCUUGCAUGGCUCGUAACUUAGUGUGUGUUUUAUUCCAAAGCACAUCCCAGAACCACAGACCUACAGAACUACAGACCCCCGAAAUAAAAAAGGAUAAGAGCAUAAAACUGCCCCCUCUUUCAUUGUGUGUCUGAUGACCAGAGCUGUCACAGCUGAACAGCUGCUCAGAUGUCUCAUCGUUUACAAAGCACCGCUGAAGGCUUGAGGGGGAAAUAUUCUUUCAUUGAAGACAAAACUCCCUUUGAUUUCUGCUGGAGCUGUAUUUCAGGCUUACAAUCUGAUGGUGCACUCAGUUGUGUCAGAAAACAGGUCAGUCCAUCCAGACCCAUCUUCAGAAACAUUCCUCAGCAACGUGACUGGGUUAAAUUUAGCUCCACCGAUUUUGCUGAAAUUUCCUUGAAUGCCUUGAAUUCCUGUGCUGGAAUUGGAUGAUAAACUGUGGGGGUUGCUGGGGCUGAAUAACCUUUGGUGCUGUCUUCCCUCCUCAGCUCUCCCAUCCCCUCAUCAUGUUCUGGGAGCGAGGCAGUGGUUUUUAACCUACUCAAAGUGUCCCUGAGGCCAAAGCCAGGAUGUGUUUGUGUGACAGGGUGCCCCUUAGGACAGCAGACUUUAAGGGAUGGCAGGUCUCUGUUUUUGGCAGUGCUGCACAUCUGGGCCAGCUCAGGAGUGACUCUCCUGCUCUUGGAGGCCACUGCUCCUGCCACAGCUGGCUGUGGGAGAAAUGGUGUCCACAGAGCUGUCCCAGUUCCAUCCUAGGACUAACAUCCCUUCCUGCCCACGUGUGUGUGGGGCAUUCCUCAUCCCUGGGCAGGGUUUGUGUGUCUCUGGGAGCCCCCAUCUGUUCUGUGUAAGUCCUGAGUACCCCCUGAGUGUUUGCUGGUGCUCAGGAAGGAGGCACAUCAGCCAGAAGUUGUUUUGCUCCACUGCCACCCCAUCAGCUGCCCUGAUGUCACCACACAGUCCCCAGGCUUUCAGCAGGUAGAGCAAAGGUGUGAGACCACAGCCCAGAGCUCAGCAGUGUCACCAUGGCCCAGAACUCAGCAGUGUCACCACAGCCCAGAGCUCAGCAGUGUCACCAUGGCCCAGAGCUCAGCAGUGUCACCAUGGCCCAAGACUCAGCAGUGUCACCAUGGCCCAGGACUGAGCAGUGUCACCAUGGCCCAGGACUCAGCAGUGUCACCAUGGCCCAGGACUCAGCAGUGUCACCAUGGCCCAGGACUCAGCAGUGUCACCAUGGCCCAGAGCUCAGCAGUGUCACCAUGGCCCAGGACUCAGCAGUGUCACCAUGGCCCAGAGCUCAGCAGUGUCACCAUGGCCCAGGACUCAGCAGUGUCACCACAGCCCAGAGCUCAGCAGUGUCACCAUGGCCCAGAGCUCAGCAGUGUCACCAUGGCCCAGGACUCAGCAGUGUCACCACAGCCCAGAGCUCAGCAGUGUGACCAUGGCCCAGAACUCAGCAGUGUCACCACAGCCCAGAGCUCAGCAGUGUGGCUGCCUGAGGUGACAGCAGUGGCUCAGCUUCUGGGCAGUGGGGAAGGGACAGUGGCCACAGGGACACCAGUGAAGAAGUGAAGAGAUAUUUGGAUCUUUGUAAAACUUCAGUGGAGGGGCUUGAAACGCUGCAUUUAAAUGCAAGAAAAUCUGACAUACAGAAGGAAAAAGCCAAGCCCAAACUCUGUGCUGAAGGAGACACUGGAGGGUGCUUUCUUUAGAGGCAAUAACCCUUGGCAUUGAUAGGGCACACCAGGGAAUCACACAGAACUUUGCUGAUCUUCAGAACAACCCUCUGAGCAAGUAGCAGAGAAAUGGGAAACAGGAGCUCUAAGGGACAAGUGUCCUUGUACUCCUGGUUCAGUGAUGCCAGGGAAAGAAGUGGGGGGAACAAUCCACUACAAAACCCAACGUCUGGUCUUUUUGUCUGAGCCUUACCUAGGGAUGACGUGGAUAUGUGAACAGCAUCUUUUCCCAUAAAGGGCAAUUCCUGAUGUCAUGAACAGGCCAAAUCAGCUGUGCUCCAUCACUGUCCCAGGGACUCAACAACUGCUGGGUCAUACCUGGGAGGGAUAACAACUGUGGGCUCAAAGCCCUGGCCUUCAGGAGGAGAUGGGGGUACACCUGAGGAUGCACUACUGGAGAAUAUCAAAGAAUAAGUGACCAAAACUAUAGAAGAGACAACAAAUCCAAGCAGCAAAGUCCUGAUGGCUGGGUGAAACAGGAGUGGGGAGUGUGCAGUGAGGGCAUCCUGCUGGAGCUGUUCUGGUGGCCACAGCCACACCAGACGAGGUCCCCAGUGCCAGCAAACACCAGCCUGGGGUGGGCAGACAGAGUUAUCCUUGCCACAGCAGCUGUCCACUCAGAGAUACCUGGAAAGUGCUGCUGCAGGAAGAGGUGAGUGCAGCUGAGCUGCCUCCUCACAUCUGGGGCUCUGCUGGGUGAGUGCUGUAUGGCUGGAACAAAGAAAACGUGAGAGCAGAGCCCCAGGGAAUGUCUCAUCUGUGUCUCAGGAGGUACAGCUUCUGCUGGCUGCGGGAACAACUCACUCCUGGUGGCACUGAGGUGACAGCCCCCACGCCCACCCAGCCUCCCAGACAACAAGGGACAAGGUGCACCUCUCACAGGAAAGAAAUUUCCUGUAAUAAAUACAG